GGUUUUUUUAGGGCAGUCGUUAGCAUGCAGUCGACGAUGAACCUCACUUGUGGGGGGAUUAGUGGCGAACGGGUGAGUAACACGUGAGUAACCUGCCCUUGACUCUGGGAUAAGCCUGGGAAACCGGGUCUAAUACUGGAUACGACCUUCUGGCGCAUGCCAUGUUGGUGGAAAGCUUUUGUGGUUUUGGAUGGACUCGCGGCCUAUCAGCUUGUUGGUGGGGUAAUGGCCUACCAAGGCGACGACGGGUAGCCGGCCUGAGAGGGUGACCGGCCACACUGGGACUGAGACACGGCCCAGACUCCUACGGGAGGCAGCAGUGGGGAAUAUUGCACAAUGGGCGCAAGCCUGAUGCAGCGACGCCGCGUGAGGGAUGAAGGCCUUCGGGUUGUAAACCUCUUUCAGUAGGGAAGAAGCCGGCUCUUUGGGUUGGUGACGGUACCUGCAGAAGAAGCGCCGGCUAACUACGUGCCAGCAGCCGCGGUAAUACGUAGGGCGCAAGCGUUAUCCGGAAUUAUUGGGCGUAAAGAGCUCGUAGGCGGUUUGUCGCGUCUGCCGUGAAAGUCCGGGGCUUAACCCCGGAUCUGCGGUGGGUACGGGCAGACUAGAGUGCAGUAGGGGAGACUGGAAUUCCUGGUGUAGCGGUGAAAUGCGCAGAUAUCAGGAGGAACACCGAUGGCGAAGGCAGGUCUCUGGGCUGUAACUGACGCUGAGGAGCGAAAGCAUGGGGAGCGAACAGGAUUAGAUACCCUGGUAGUCCAUGCCGUAAACGUUGGGCACUAGGUGUGGGGGGACAUUCCACGUUUUCCGCGCCGUAGCUAACGCAUUAAGUGCCCCGCCUGGGGAGUACGGCCGCAAGGCUAAAACUCAAAGGAAUUGACGGGGGCCCGCACAAGCGGCGGAGCAUGCGGAUUAAUUCGAUGCAACGCGAAGAAUCUUUACCAAGGCUUGACAUGAACCGGAAUGAUGCAGAGAUGUGUCAGCCACUUGUGGGCCGGUUUACAGGUGGUGCAUGGUUGUCGUCAGCUCGUGUCGUGAGAUGUGGGGUUAGUCCCGCACGAGCGCACCCUCGGUUCCAUGGUGGCAGCGGUUAUGCCCGGGGACUCAUGGGAGACUGCCCGGGGUUCAACUCGUAGGUAAU
rnacentral:rRNA from 1 species